rnacentral:pre_miRNA from 1 species
CUACUACUCCUUCCGUCCGAAAAUACUUGUCAUUGAAAUGGAUGUAUCUAGAUGUAUUUUAGUUCUAGACACAUCCAUUUUGAUGACAAGUAAUUCCAGAUGGAGGGAAUAUUAU